rnacentral:rRNA from 1 species
UUGAACGCUGGCGGCGGCCUCCUUUUGCAAGUCGAGCGGAUGAAGGGGGCUUGCUCCUGGCAUUCAGCGGCGGACGGGUGAGUAAUGCCUAGGAAUCUGCCUGGUAGUGGGGGAUAACGUCCGGAAACGGGCGCUAAUACCGCAUACGUCCUGAGGGAGAAAGUGGGGGAUCUUCGGACCUCACGCUAUCAGAUGAGCCUAGGUCGGAUUAGCUAGUUGGUGGGGUAAAGGCCUACCAAGGCGACGAUCCGUAACUGGUCUGAGAGGAUGAUCAGUCACACUGGAACUGAGACACGGUCCAGACUCCUACGGGAGGCAGCAGUGGGGAAUAUUGGACAAUGGGCGAAAGCCUGAUCCAGCCAUGCCGCGUGUGUGAAGAAGGUCUUCGGAUUGUAAAGCACUUUAAGUUGGGAGGAAGGGCAGUAAGUUAAUACCUUGCUGUUUUGACGUUACCAACAGAAUAAGCACCGGCUAACUUCGUGCCAGCAGCCGCGGUAAUACGAAGGGUGCAAGCGUUAAUCGGAAUUACUGGGCGUAAAGCGCGCGUAGGUGGUUCAGCAAGUUGGAUGUGAAAUCCCCGGGCUCAACCUGGGAACUGCAUCCAAAACUACUGAGCUAGAGUACGGUAGAGGGUGGUGGAAUUUCCUGUGUAGCGGUGAAAUGCGUAGAUAUAGGAAGGAACACCAGUGGCGAAGGCGACCACCUGGACUGAUACUGACACUGAGGUGCGAAAGCGUGGGGAGCAAACAGGAUUAGAUACCCUGGUAGUCCACGCCGUAAACGAUGUCGACUAGCCGUUGGGAUCCUUGAGAUCUUAGUGGCGCAGCUAACGCGAUAAGUCGACCGCCUGGGGGAGUACGGCCGCAAGGUUA